rnacentral:rRNA from 1 species
GAUGAACGCUAGCGGCAGGCCUAACACAUGCAAGUCGAGGGGCAUCACGGAUUGCUUGCAAUCUGGUGGCGACCGGCGCACGGGUGCGUAACGCGUAUACAACCUACCUUUUGGAGGGGAAUAGCCCAGAGAAAUUUGGAUUAAUACCCCAUAGUAUAUAGGAAUCUCCUGAGUUUUUAUAUUAAACAUUUAUGGCCAUUAGAUGGGUAUGCGUCCUAUUAGUUAGUUGGUAAGGUAACGGCUUACCAAGGCAGCGAUAGGUAGGGGUCCUGAGAGGGAGACUCCCCACACUGGUACUGAGACACGGACCAGACUCCUACGGGAGGCAGCAGUGAGGAAUAUUGGACAAUGGGCGAGAGCCUGAUCCAGCCAUCGCCGCGUGCAGGAAGACUCGCCCUAGUGGGUUAGUAAACUGUCUUUUACAGAGGAAGAACCCACCCCCACGUGUGGGGGUUUGACGGUACUCUGCGAAUAAGGAUCGGCUAACUCCGUG